rnacentral:rRNA from 1 species
CCUACGGGUGGCAGCAGUGGGGAAUAUUGCACAAUGGGGGAAACCCUGAUGCAGCGACGCCGCGUGAGCGAAGAAGUAUCUCGGUAUGUAAAGCUCUAUCAGCAGGGAAGAAAAUGACGGUACCUGACUAAGAAGCCCCGGGUAACUACGUGCCAGCAGCCGCGGUAAUAAGUAGGGGGCAAGCGUUAUCCGGAUUUACUGGGUGUAAAGGGAGCGCAGGCGGCGCGGUAAGUCUGAUGUGAAAGGCCGGGGCUCAACCCCGGGACUGCAUUGGAAACUGUCGUGCUGGAGGGGCGGAGGGGCAAGUGGAAAUCCGAGUGUAGCGGUGAAAUGCGUAGAUAUUAGGAGGAACACCAGUGGCGAAGG